UACAGAGGUGGCAAGCGUUGUUCGGAAUUACUGGGCGUAAAGGGCGCGUAGGCGGCCUUCUAAGUCAGACGUGAAAUCCCCCGGCUUAACCUGGGAACUGCGUCUGAUACUGGGAGGCUUGAGUAUGGGAGAGGGAUGUAGAAUUCCAGGUGUAGCGGUGAAAUGCGUAGAUAUCUGGAGGAACACCGGUGGCGAAGGCGGCAUCCUGGACCGAGACUGACACUGAGGAGCGAAAGCCAGGGGAGCAAACGGG
rnacentral:rRNA from 1 species